rnacentral:rRNA from 1 species
CCUACGGGCGGCAGCAGUGAGGAAUAUUGGUCAAUGGGCGAGACCCUGAACCAGCCAAGCCGCGUGAGGGAGUACUGCCCUAUGGGUUUUAAACCCUUUUUGCCGGGGAGCAAAAGCCGUACGUGUCCGGCUGCGAGAGUACCCGAAGAAAAAGCAUCGGCUAACUCCGUGCCAGCAGCCGCGGUAAUUCGGAGGAUGCGAGGGUUAUCCGGAUUUAUUGGGUUUAAAGGGUGCGCAGGCGGAAUUUAAAGUCAGCGGUAAAAUCGUGGGGCUCAACCCCAUCCAGCCGUUGAAACUGGGGUGCUGGAGUGUGCGAGAGGUAUGCGGAAUGCGUGGUGUAGCGGUGAAAUGCAUAGAUAUCACGCAGAACCCCGAUUGCGAAGGCAGCAUACCGGUGCACAACUGACGCUCAGGCACGAAAGCGUGGGUAUCGAACAGGAUUAGAUACCCGAGUAGUC